rnacentral:rRNA from 1 species
AGGUCCAUCUAAAUAACUUAAAGACACCAGAUCCCAUCUGAUCUUGAAAGUUAAGUAUAGUCAGCUCUGGUUAGUACUUGGACGAGAGAUUGCCAAUGAUUACCAGAUGCUGUAACCU